UUUGUAGAAUGAACCGGCGAGUUACGAUCUGAUGCAAGGUUAAGCAGAAAAUGUGGAGCCGUAGCGAAAGCGAGUCUGAAUAGGGCGAAUGAGUAUUUGGUCGUAGACCCGAAACCAGGUGAUCUACCCUUGGUCAGGUUGAAGUUCAGGUAACACUGAAUGGAGGACCGAACCGACUUACGUUGAAAAGUGAGCGGAUGAACUGAGGGUAGCGGAGAAAUUCCAAUCGAACUUGGAGAUAGCUGGUUCUCUCCGAAAUAGCUUUAGGGCUAGCCUCAAGUGAUGAUUAUUGGAGGUAGAGCACUGUUUGGACGAGGGGCCCCUCUCGGGUUACCGAAUUCAGACAAACUCCGAAUGCCAAAUAAUUUAACUUGGGAGUCAGAAUGUGGGUGAUAAGGUCCAUAUUCGAAAGGGAAACAGCCCAGACCACCAGCUAAGGUCCCAAAAUAUAUGUUAAGUGGAAAAGGAUGUGGCGUUGCCCAGACAACUAGGAUGUUGGCUUAGAAGCAGCCAUCAUUUAAAGAGUGCGUAAUAGCUCACUAGUCGAGUGACACUGCGCCGAAAAUGUACCGGGGCUAAACAUAUUACCGAAGCUGUGGAUUGUCCUUUGGACAAUGGUAGGAGAGCGUUCUAAGGGCGUUGAAGCAUGAUCGCAAGGACAUGUGGAGCGCUUAGAAGUGAGAAUGCCGGUGUGAGUAGCGAAAGACGGGUGAGAAUCCCGUCCACCGAUUGACUAAGGUUUCCAGAGGAAGGCUCGUCCGCUCUGGGUUAGUCGGGUCCUAAGCUGAGGCCGACAGGCGUAGGCGAUGGAUAACAGGUUGAUAUUCCUGUACCACCAUUAUUCGUUUUAAGCGAUGGGGGGACGCAGUAGGAUAGGCGAAGCGUGCUGUUGGAGUGCACGUCCAAGCAGUGAGAUUGAGUGUUAGGCAAAUCCGGCACUCUUAAGAUUGAGCUGUGAUGGGGAGAGGAACUUGUUCCUCGAGUCGUUGAUUUCAC
rnacentral:rRNA from 1 species